rnacentral:rRNA from 1 species
UACGUAGGGGGCAAGCGUUGUCCGGAUUUAUUGGGCGUAAAGAGCGUGUAGGCGGUUUGGUAGGUCCGUUGUGAAAACUCGAGGCUCAACCUCGAGACGCCGAUGGAAACCAUCAGACUAGAGUCCGGAAGAGGAGAGUGGAAUUCCUGGUGUAGCGGUGAAAUGCGCAGAUUUCAGGAAGAACACCCGUGGCUAAGGCGGCUCUCUAGUACGGUACUGACGCUGAGACGCGAAAGCGUGGGGAGCAAACAGG